rnacentral:rRNA from 1 species
GACGAACGCUGGCGGCGUGCCUAAUACAUGCAAGUAGAACGCUGAAGAGAGGAGCUUCCUCUUCUUGGAUGAGUUGCGAACGGGUGAGUAACGCGUAGGUAACCUGCCUUGUAGCGGGGGAUAACUAUUGGAAACGAUAGCUAAUACCGCAUAACAAUGGAUGACACAUGUCAUUUAUUUGAAAGGGGCAAUUGCUCCACUACAAGAUGGACCUGCGUUGUAUUAGCUAGUAGGUGAGGUAAUGGCUCACCUAGGCGACGAUACAUAGCCGACCUGAGAGGGUGAUCGGCCACACUGGGACUGAGACACGGCCCAGACUCCUACGGGAGGCAGCAGUAGGGAAUCUUCGGCAAUGGGGGCAACCCUGACCGAGCAACGCCGCGUGAGUGAAGAAGGUUUUCGGAUCGUAAAGCUCUGUUGUAAGUCAAGAACGGGUGUGAGAGUGGAAAGUUCACACUGUGACGGUAGCUUACCAGAAAGAGACGGCUAACUACGUG